UCCAGUCGUCGGCGCGCGUCGUCUGCGCAUGCGUGCAGAGGAGCAGCUGACGGCGCAUGGCAUCUCCUCCAGCGCCACCGCCGCCUGGCUCGCUGGCUACGCCGAGCGGCGCGUCCGUGUGCGCGGCCACCACCGCCGCAGUGCUCCCGGGGCCACCGAAGAGAACCGCCACGACAGCAACCACCAUGCCGAUGACGACGAUGGACGUCCGCAGACGCUUCUUCGGGUUGUUGUCGCGCAGGCUGCUGUAAGACGACUGGAGUGGCUCGAUCUUUUUUUUGUUUUUUUGUUUUUGUUGUUUUAUUUUAUUUUAUUUUGGGGGGUACAUCCAUCCUGGUGCUGAUGCAGCGGAGGAUGCUGAGGGUGCUCUAACUGCGGGAGUGGAGGCCAGCUUCCUCGGUGGGGCUUCGACGGCGGUCGACUCAAAGUUGCAAAAGUUUCAAUUUGCCUGACGUUGAACCACCGACAGGAUGAUUGAGGAGGGCGGCAAGCGAGGCAAGGCCGCCGUGGAGAAGAGGCAGCUCUUCAUGGAGAUGAGAGCGCAGAACUUUGAUGUGAUCAGACUGUCGACGUACAGAACGGCGUGCAAGCUCCGAUUCGUGCAGAAACGAUGCAACCUUCACCUGGUGGACGUGUGGAACAUGAUCGAGGCCUUCCGGGACAACGGCCUCAACACGCUGGAGCACCACGCCGAGAUCAACGUGUCGCGUCUGGAGACCAUCCUGUCCUCCGUCUACUACCAGCUCAACAAGCGGCUGCCCACCACGCACCAGAUCAACGUGGAGCAGUCCAUCGGGCUGCUGCUCAACUUCAUGGUGGCCACCUACGACAGCGAGAGCCACGGGAAGUUGACGGUGUUCUCCAUGAAAGCCAUGCUAGCGACGAUGUGCGGAGGCAAAAUCGUGGACAAGCUGCGCUACAUUUUCUCUCAGAUGUCGGACUCCAGCGGCGUGAUGGUGUUCACCAAGUUCGACCAGUUCCUGCGCGAGGUGCUCAAGCUUCCCACGGCCGUCUUCGAGGGGCCCUCCUUCGGGUACACCGAGCACUCGCUCAGGACGUGCUUCCCCCAGCAGAAGAAGAUCACGCUGAACACGUUUUUGGACAUCUUGAUGGCGGACCCUCCGCCUCAAUGCCUCGUCUGGCUGCCGCUCAUGCACAGACUCGCUAAUGUCGAAAAUGUCUUCCAUCCGGUGGAGUGUUCGUAUUGCCGCAGCGAGAGCAUGAUGGGUUUCCGCUACCGCUGCCAGCAGUGCCACGGGUACCAGCUGUGCCAGAGCUGCUUCUGGAGAGGCCACGCCAACGGACCCCACAGCAACCAGCACCAGAUGAAGGAGCACUCGUCCUGGAAGUCUCCCGCCAAGAAGCUGAGCCACGCCAUCAGCAAAUCGCUGGGCUGCGUUCCCAUCGGCGAGCCCCCGCAUCCCGUCUUCCCCGAGCAGGCCGAGAGACCCCAGGAGGCCCCUCACAACGUCGUCUUGGAGAGUCCCAGCCGGCUGGACGAGGAGCACCGCCUCAUCGCCCGCUACGCCGCACGUCUGGCGGCCGAGGCGGGAAACUCCACGCAACAAUGUCCUCCCUCCGACUUGUCGUUCAACUUUGACGCCAACAAGCAGCAGAGGCAGCUGAUUGCCGAGCUGGAGAACAAAAACAGGGAGAUCCUGCAGGAGAUCCAGAGGCUUCGUUUGGAGCACGAGCAGGCGUCGCAGCCCACGCCGGAGAAGGCCCAGCAGAACCCGACGCUCCUCACCGAGCUCAGGCUGCUCAGACACAGGAAGGACGAGCUGGAGAGGCGCAUGUCGGCCUUGCAGGAGAGCCGGCGGGAGCUCAUGGUGCAGUUGGAGGGACUCAUGAGGCUUCUCAAGGACGAGGAACAGAAGCAGGUGUCCCAGCCGGGCGGCUCGCCCCACUCGUCGCCCGGCCACGGGGCCGGCUGCUCCAUGCCCAUGCCCAUACGCUCCACCUCGGCCGGCUCCACCCCCACGCACACGCCCCAGGACUGUCUGGCGGGCGUGGGGGGCGACGCGCUGGAGGCCUUCGCUCAGGGUGUACCUCGGAAUCUGCGCAACGACCUCCUCGUGGCUGCCGACUCCAUCACCAACACGAUGUCGUCGCUGGUCAAAGAGCUGCACUCAGUGGACGACGGGCCAGACGAGGAGGAGACCGACGUGAGAAACGGAGGCGAGAGAGUUACCGCAAUUGCGAUGAGAUGAUUGUACAGAUGACUACCAUCUUACUGCGAUGACGAUGGAAUAACCCAGCGAUCUCUCCGAGGCGAGCGCAUUUGCUAUGCGAUUGCCACGAUUUCACCGAGACGUCCGUAAGACGACUGCGGUGACUGUGAAAUGAGAAAAGACACGGAUCGCUUUGAGGCUCCGGAGAUUCGUUUCCGGUUCUCGCAAUCGCUUUGAGAGGACGGGAGACGAUUUCUACCAAAUGACUGCGAGGUUCCCGAGAUGACGACGAGACGAACAUGCGGUUACUACACUGAGAUUCCUUGAAAGCACCAUGCGAGUGCAGAAGCAGUGAAGCCAGAGGCGACGCCUCGUCAGCUGGGAACGAUCGGCGCCGCCGCCGCCGC